CCUGGUGGUCAUAGUUAAGGGGAAAUACCCGUUCCCAUACCGAACACGGAAGUCAAGCCCUUACGCGCCGAUGAUACUGCUAAAAGCGGGAAAGUAGGUAAUUGCCGGGU
rnacentral:rRNA from 1 species